AAGAAUUUGAGCACAACAUCGACGGCGUUCUGCGCGGCGAGCGGUGCGAAGACGUCGGCCUCGUUCGACUGCGCGGAGCCGCCGCCGGCGAGGUCGGAGAGGGAGCGGAUGGCAACGAAGGGCUUCUCGAGCUGGCGGCACACGAGCGCGACCGCCGCGCUCUCCAUGUCGACCGGAGUCACGUCGAACUUCGACCGCAGGAACUGCCGGUAUGCUGCGUUGUCGACGAAGGUGUUGGCGCUGCAGCCCCUGUCCACCCUCACCACCUUAGGGUUUCUGGGCAGGCAUGUUGUGGAGUUGGCACACUUGGGGAGUUUCGUGCCCUAGAAAAAUAAAAGAGAGAAAAAAAAUAUGGUUCUGAAAAAAUAAUAUUGCUACGGGAAUUAAUUUUCAGUAAUACCUGUAGAAGUGAUGUGACAGUGUUGUGAUUAUGACUGUCAACGAGUCGAACAUGAGUGAACUGGAAAUGGCUCAUGUUCGUUCACUUAUUAAAAAAAUUGAACGCAAGUUGAUGAGCCGAAAAAUCCAACUCAUAUUAACGAGCCGAAAACGAGCCCAUCCCAACUCGUAUUCAGUUCUUUUUAUUAAACAAGCCAAUUAAUCUCGAGCUCAUUUCAAGCAGAACAUGAGCUGACUCAGGAACAUUGAGUUGGAUUGCCAGCCCUAGUUAUUACUGCUUGCGCAAUAAUAAUUAGCAACACUAAUUUUACAUAAGCAAUAUAUUAAUAUUUAAUCUACUAAAUUUAGUUAUGGAACUUAAUUGCACCAGUUAAGAAAGUUCACGAGCCAAAAAUUGUUACACAUUAAAGUUUGAUGACCAAAAUAUCACGCGUCUUAUAGUUCAAGAAACCAAAGUGUUAUUUAGGCUAAUUUACGUUGAAAUUUUAAAAUAAUGUUACAUAUACCAUCCAAAUUGGAAAACCAAUUUACUUGAAAUUUCAAUGAAUUUACUGUUAAUUAUAUAUAAUAUGGUCCUUGAAAUUGUACCUAAUUAGUUAUAAUUUUAUACACAUAGUUUCAAUUAUAACAAUUUUGUUCUUAUUUUGCUUACAAAAAUGUGCCAUGUAAAUCUCAAAAACAUUAAAUUCAUAUCUAGCUAGUUAUUAACCCAUCAAAUCGUGAGCAUGCUGUAGUGUCCUUGGGGUUUAGCGGUCUGGGAGAUUUCAGCAUUGAUCUGUGGUUUGUCGACACAUCAAAUGGGUGUCAGGACAAGUCGGAGUCGUUUUGGCGCGAAUUGGACGCAAAACGGACUCUGCGCAGUGCGAGAGUGAAGUUUUGAUACUGAAAUCUGCAAAGUGCAGGAUUUCAGUGUUGAGUAUCGGCACCUGGGCGGAGUACCGGUACCCUAGAGGGAUUCAAGAGUUGAAUGCUUUCGGGUUUGCGCAGUUGAUGCUGAGUACCGGUACUGUAUCGGGCUAGUACCGAUACCCAGCGCGCGAGUUUGCAGACAGAGGGCCGAGUACCGGUACCCAAGUUGAGUACUGAUACUCCAAAAGGCUAAUUGAGUUGGUAAGGGAUAUUUUGGGCUUUUUGUACAUAUAAGUACUAACCGACCCUGGCCUUCUCUCUUUGUGCCUGAGGGUGGAGAACACAGGUAGCUUCUCCUCUCUUUCUCUCUCUAGCUCUCUUGUCGUUUCUUUGUGAUUUUGGAGAGCUGAUCUUAGUUUUCGUCCGCUUGUCUUUGGAGGAUUGCUCGCGCACCGUGGUUGAGUCCGGUUGAGGCCGUUGGAGGUUGAGCUAGCGCGAGGUUUCUCCUAUCGACUUUUAACCGACGUUGGAUAAGCGUUCAAGGUGGUUUAAUGUUUAUCGAAAUCGUCGGAUUUCUUUCUAAGUCAUAGAGUUGUCAGCAUGUAAUUCUUGGUUUUGUUCAUCAUAUUUAAUAGCUCGAAUUCAUAGAUUUGCAUGUCUUUUAUGAAAUCUGAAUUUGGAGCCUAAUUUGAUAAUUUUAAAAGAUUUGUUAUAUGUUGAACUGAGAACUUGACUUAAGAGAAAACUCGUUAAACCUACACUGUCACUUUUUCGAAAUGUUAACAGAUUUAGCUUCAGGAGCUAAUUUCUUUAUCAUAUCACCGUUCUUAGUGCGUUGUGCAUACUCAGAUUAGUGUAGGUUGACUUUACGCUCGCGCUAAGAGGCCGAGUUUGUUUUACAGUAGAGUUUGAACUGUUUCGUAUAGUCGGGUGUCGUUGGGACUGACGGUAUACCCAGAUGUUUACAUCUUGUCUCAAAUUGUGCCGAGGGCACGUGAGCUUUGGUUGUUAGACCAGUUUGACCUAUUUGCAUUGACUAUAGCCUGUGUGAGCCUGAUUGAGCUCGACAGAGACACGCUUGUAUACUCGGUUGGGUCGCUCCCGCGAGUGCCACUCCGGAGUGAAGCUUUACUUGCGUUGAUGCGGUAGCAGUCCUGUUUGGACGGUUUACUUGGACCAGCCACCCUAGUGGAUGGUGUGCGGUGUAGCUUGGAUACAGGUCGGAUGCGUCCGUUUGGGCAACCCUUGUGAGAUUGGGUCAGUGUGAUGCAUGUCUAUGUAUACAGAUCGCCUAUGUUGGUUAGCGAUAGUAUAGUGGCAUGUAGCUGUAGAGUUCUUUCCAACUUUCCUUACUAUCUUUUGCAUACCUUACUGUAGACUUAGUUGGUGGGCCGUUGAGGUCGGUGACGGUAUCUACUGAGAACUACUCUGUUUUGCAGUAGUUUUCAUACCCAGUUGUUGCCACCUUUUUGCAAAACCGUCCGUUGCUGCUGCUGUUGCUGAUUCUGACCGUGGUAAGGGAAUCACGAGCUAGAUCCCUACCAUCCUUGGUCGUUGUGCUAGAGGAGUACCCUGUAGAGAUAGUUUUGGAUUUUAUAUGUACAUACUAUUAUGCUUGUAGUACUCGCUGGAGCGAGUGAUUUUAUAGCUUGUGUAUGUACAGUGGACUCUCUAUAUUUUUAUAUACAUGUUUUAGUUAUAGCAGCUCUUUACCUCUUGUGUAGCUAUAUUCUGUUUACAGGUACAGCUAUCGCUUCGUAUACACGAAAAAUUUCUAUGUAUACGGCGGAUCUGCUGGUGUGCCCGAAAAAAUAUAGUAAUCCGGAGCGUGACACAUGCACUUCCUACAAAUACCAAGUAAAAUAGAGAACAAUAAAACAACAAAAAAAACCAAGUAAAUAAUUACCUCUAAGGGCAUGUUUGGUUCAUGAUUGGAAUAGGAAUGGGAAAUGAAAUUAGAUUGCUUUGGAAUGGAAAAUGGAAUCACGAAUCAUGCAAAAAUGUUUGGUUCAUUAUUGGAAUGGAAAUCGGAAUGAAAAUUUAAAAUUUUUGAGAGAGGGUUUUGAUUAAGAGAGAGGAAAGUAAUAAAGGGAGAGAAGGUAGGUGUUGAUGAAAGAGGAUUUUGAAUAGUUUACUUUGGAAUGAGCCAAUCCGGGAUUCAAAGCCGGAUUGGAUCAUAAAUGAAUUUAGCCAUUUCCAUUCCGGAGUGAAAUGGAAAUCGGAAUCCGAUUCCCCUAUAAAACAAACGGCAACUAUCGGAAUCAAUGAAUUCUAUUCCGAUUCCAUAGUCUAAAAUAGGUGAACCAAACAUGCCCUAAUUGUUUUGAGGGUGUGUUUGGUUCGCAUUAUCCUGGCAGGAUUACAGACAAUACUGCCAAGAUUAUUGCGUUUGGUUCAUCUAGCAUGUAAUCUAGUCAGUAAUAUAGCAUUACAAAUGGUGUGGGAUUACACCGAAAAUAUUACCGAAUGGAGGGUGGAUAUCUCAUAUUACUGAUUGGCGGGUUAUCUUGCAUUAUGUAAAAUUACAAGUUUAUCCCUCCGAACCCCUUAAACCCUUUUAAUACGUCAUUUUUUAAAUUUUAAUUUAAUUUUUUUUAGAUUGUCAAAUUUUAAAUUUAAAUUUUCAAUUUUCAAUUUUUUUUUCAAAUUUUAAUUUUAAUUUUUAAUUUUUAAUUUUCAAAUUUUAAACUUUAAAUUUUAAAUUUUAAAUUUUAAAUUUUUAAAUUUCAAGUUUCAAGUUUCAUGUUUCAAGUUUUUGUGAGACCCGAGAUAAUCCUAUAUAUAAGAUAUAAUAGGACAAAACUCUUAACCCGGCUUAAGCANAUGCCAUCCAAACUGGAAAACCAAUUUACUUGAAAUUCUUUAAUUUUAUAUAGUAUGGUCCUUGAAAUUAAUUGUACCUAAAUUAUAAUUUUAUACACAUAGUUUCAAUUAUAACAAUUUAGUUCUUAUUUUGCUUACAAAAAUGUGCCACUUAAAUCUCAAAAACAUUAAAUUCAUAUAUAUCUAGCUAGUUAUUAACCCAUCAAAUCUCAUGAGCAUGCACUUCCUAUAAUUAAAUACCAAGUAAAAUAGAGAAAAAUAAAAUAAAAUAACAAAAAAAAACCCAAGUAAAUUAUUACCUCUAAUUGCUUUGAGAGUGCAAAGUAUUUUUCAUCAACAGGAACCCAAAAUGCAUGCUCUCUAACUUCUGGAACAUCAUUUACUGGAAAAAUCUCCUCUGGUUGAUACCAAACAUUGUUCAGAAAAUUUUCUGAAGAUUUAUCAAUCUUAUUUGUAGAAUAAUAUGAAAUAUUGAGAUAGCCGUAUUUUCGUGUAAAAUCUCCACCAGCCUCUAAUGGGAGUUCAUUUUGCGGUCCAUUGCCGUAUCGCUGUUUAAAAGUGAAAAAAAAUGAAAGAAAACAGAUAUAUAAUUAAGGAGUCAUUAGACUUAAAAUUUACAUAAGAAAUGUAAAUAGAUGAUUUUGCAGGGAUAUUGCUGAAUGAAAGAGUGGUAUUUUUUUGUAUCAUUUGAGAGAAAGCUCUUGUCAAGCUAAUUAAUGAAGGGUACAGUGCUUUUCGGCGAAGUGCUUUUGAGUAACAUAAUAUUGAUACCAAAGAUUUAAGUGUCGCGGCAUGGGUCGUGCCGGAAACAUGCUGACAUGGUACGGUACGAUGCGUGCCGGACUGUACUGAUGCGUGCCGAUCACAAAAAAUUCAUGUGUGCCGACACAUAAUAACAUGAAAUAUUUAUUUUCUUUAACAACAAAAUAUUCUAACUGUUUACUAUAUAUUUUUAUCAAAUUUUUUGAAUUUUAUUAAAAAAAUUACUUACUAAUUUAAAUAAUAGAAAAUUUUGAGUUGUGCCAUCGGUAUAAGAACUGUAUCGUGCCGAUAUUUUGUUGAUACGGUACAAUACGAUAGACACGAUUCGUACCGAUGAGCACUUAAAUUUUUUAUUAAUAUAGUCACCUAAAACCUAAAAACUCUUAUUUUAGAUUUUCACCGUAUUACGGAUAAUCAGAUUUAGAGAUGACUAGUAAUCGCCGAAAGUAAAAAUAGAAGCAGUGCCAAAAAGAGAAUCAUCAUCUAGAUCAUAAAAUCAGUGCCCAUUUCUCUGUGGAGGAAUUAAGAAAUAAUUAAAUUUCACCUGCCAACUCCACAAGCCAGUGUGAGCCCAAUACUGAGGAAUAGUCACAUCCCCAAUCUGAAGCUCAGGAUUAGCAUUCCCUGCAAUUCCAAAAUGCACAACUCCUUUGAUCUCAAAUAGGCUAAGCAGUAGCUGAGUGGCUAAUCCAGCAUUAAGCUGCAUCAAAAGUAGUAAAAGACUAAUUAAACCCAAAAAGAUGAUCAUUACUUCACCAACAGAUCUAUAAUUAUUCAAUUAAGAGCCCCGUUUAGUAUUGAGGCCUCUCUAAUGAUAAUCGGUAAAAAUGGAGUUGGUUUUUUGUAUUUUUUGGCGAGACCUGUAAAAAAUGUAUUAUAACCGGUUUAUUGCAAUAUGCUCAACGUGAGAUUAUGUAUAAAAAUAAAUAUAAUCUUUUCGUAAUCCCCAAAUAGAGAAUAAAUCAUUAGCAUUGGCAAUUGGUAGAAUCCAAAAUUAUAUACUAUUGGGAUGUGACAAAUUUAUGGAUUGUGAACUUAAUUUUGUAAAUUAUAAUAAUGAAAAAUUUUGGAAAAUAAAAAGUAUGGGCUAGCACGAUUGCACUGAUACAUACCAUGCUCAAUCCUGUCAUUACCAUGAUGAGCUUGUCCUUUCCUAUUUUUCCCAAGUGGAAUCUUCUUCCUUCAAAUAAGAAAUACACAAGAGUACCACACAAGUUACUGUUUAAACUUAUUAUAUUUGACUAGAAAUAUUUUUGUCUGAUAUUACAUUUUAAAAAUUAUCAAUUUCAGAAAAUAUAAUAGGAAAAUGCAAAAUGAUGAAUAUGCUCUGUCGAAACAACAGACGAGGGUUACUCAUAAUGUCACAACUAUAUCACAUCCUUUAGGCCUUGUUUGGUACAUAUUAUAAUACGGGGCAAGGGAGGAUAUCUCCUUCUAUUCUCCUAAACACAAUACAAAAUGGAACAUUUCUUUUGUUCUGGGCUUAACGGGUUAUUUUUGAAUAACCUGUUAAGCCGAGUUCUUCCUUGCACGGAGAACAAGCUAGAACAAAAAAUUGUCCCCUCUUUUUUUUUUUUUUUUUUUUUUCCUAUUAUGCCCUUUUAUUUUUUUUAUACUUUAUUUUAAUUAAUUUCAAAUGAAUGUUCAAAUUUUUUGCUACUAAAUUAAUGUUUCUAGGUGAUUUGUAAAUAUACUAAAUUUGUGAAAUAAUCUGCUCUUCUAUAUUUAAAAUUAUAUAUUUAUAUUUAAUUUUAAUUAGUUUUAAAUAUAAAAUUGGAAGUAUAUUUUUACUGCUAUAUUCAAAAUUAUACUAUUAUAUAUUAAUUCUAUUUCUAUUCUCUUUCUCAUAUAUUGACUUAUAUUAUAUUAUUAUAUUCAAAGGCAUAAUUAUCACUUUACUUAAUUUUUAUCAAUCCAAUACCUUAUUUCAAUAUAAAAUUCCAAACACAAUAUAGGAAUAUACUCUAGGAAUAAACAAAUAACAUCCAAACGUAAUUUAGAACUUAUUCUAGCUUAUUCUAGAAUAUCUCCGGUUCUCAAGAACAAAGUUAUCCUUCAAAAAAAUUUAGGCUACGUUUGGGAUUGCGCAAUUCGUUUGGGAUUGCGGAGAGAUUGCUGUUACGUGCGGUAAGAAAAUACGUUGAAAAAAUAUCCUGUUUGUUUCUGUGUAAUAUUGCGUUUCGCAUAUGCGGUCCCACCGGAGAACGCAAAAGCAUUUCCCUAUAUAUUUUUUUCUCAACUCCAUUUUAUCUAAUAGUAUUAGAUAGGUCUUAAUACCAAACUAAGCCUUAGUUUUCGAGUCAAACACAGUCUUAAUUAUAUGGCAAAUUAGUUAUACUUUUUUUUUUCGGACAAAAUUAUAAUAAAUUUUGUUUAAGAAAAUUGACGGGAUGGGUGAGUCCUGAGAAAAUUUUUUAAUUGAUUAGGGACGGAGAUGAUGACACGGUGCAACCGUGCAAUCCAACGGAAGCGGACGUUCCCGUCCAUGUCCGCGUGGGUUUUUAGGAAUUUUUUCCCCGCCCCUUAAACCGUUUGGUUCGGGGUUAAGAAAAAACUAGUUAUUUAAAAAAUAGGGUUAAGUUUAGGGUUAAGGUGGGGUUAAAGUAUUUUUGUGUUUGGUUGGGGGUUGGAGUUAGUCCAGAAUAACGAAAAAUAGUGUUUGGUUGGAAUAGAUGGGAUAAAAAGGAUAGUAGAUUAUUAUGAAUAGAAAAUUGUGUUUGGUUGGGGUUUGGUGGGGUUAGGUGGGGUUAGCUAACCUGGAAUAACUCAUUUGAGAUGGGGUUAGCUAACCCCACCCAUUUUUAGAAGUGAUAGGGAAUAAAAUGGGGGUUAAGGGUUAUUCCACCCCUUAACCCCUUAACCCCCAACCAAACGGAGGUAUUCUCCUAAAAAACUCCCAUCCCCACAGAUUAUUUUUUAAAAUAUAAUGAAUUAAAUUUUUUAUUUCUAAUUUAAUCAAAUCUAAUUUAAUUUUAAAUCAAAUCAGUUUAAAAUUUAUUUAAUUAAUAAGUGUUUUUUUAUUCAUUGUCUAAUUACUACGAAUGGCAUAUUAAAUUAUUAAAAUUUGCAACAAUCAAAUAUUAUUUAACUAAAAUAUUAUGUAAAAUUAAAUAUAUCUAAAAUGUUUAAUUAAAUUUAAAAUAUAUUAAAAGCUUCAAAGUUACCAUUUAUAUUUAUAAAUAUAUUAAUAAUAUUAUAUUAUUUUACGGGUAUUAGAGAUUUGACUGGGCGGGGAGUAGACCUAGCAAACAGGCAUGUUGGGUUACCCGCGCCGCAGACGGGUCACUGUACCCAAGGGUCAAAUGGGUACGGAUAAAAUUUAUCCAUAAAUUUUUUGGAUAGUCAAUAUCUUUACUCAUACGCCACCCAUAGGCGGGCAGGUGGAUAUGCAAGUUAUCAACAGCAUUUUAUUUUUUCUUUUUUACUCCUAUACUUUCCAAAUAUAAAACACAUAUAUAAAAUUUUUAAAAGUAUAACCUAACUUCUUAUUUGAAAUAUCACAAUAUACAAUAAAUUAACAAUAUAAAAUCUUAAAACGCAUACAUUAUAUAAUAUAAAAGUGUUUUAUAAUCCUUGAUUUUCAUGAUACAAAAUUAAUAAAAUUUUCAUCAUUAUAGAGUCAGUAUUAUAAAGAUUAUAUAUUUUUUAAUUUAAAAAAUAUAUAUGCGGGUAUCCGUGGGUACCCGCGGGUUGUCAAAAAUAUCCACUACUUAACGGAUAUCCACCAAUUUUACCCAUAAUAUUAAUUUUCAUAAAAAAUAUAAUUUCAUUUUAUUUUUGAUGAUAGGGCAUGUAUAUCAAUAAUUUGUAUAAUUAAAUAUGAUAUAUAAUAUUUGAAGUUUCGAGAAAUUAAAUUUCCUAGUUUUGAAUAUCACCCACUUAUUUAUCAAAGCACCUCAAAAAACAAAAAAAAUAAUUUCAAUGGCUGAGUAUAAGAUCUGUUUUUUCAAAGAUGUGAAAGUUUUUGGAUUACUUGAAUUAUUAGUUAAAAAAAUAAACUUUUCAUUAUUUUUUUGAGAGGUAGGUAGCACGCUACCCGCUUCGUUUAUUUUAUUUAGAAAUAAACUUAUCUGAAAAUGUGAAUCAACUAGGAUUCGAACUUAAGACCUCGGUCAGGUAUAUACCAACCACCAAGUCCUUUGCCACUUGCUCUAGGGACGGUCGGUAAUAAACUUUUCAUUAUUAAAAUUAGGAUCAAUACCCUUUAUAUUAAAGAGUCUCUAUCAUUUUCUUUUUCAAAUGCUUAUUACAUUUUAAUUAUUUAAUUUUUUUGGCAACUUGAUCUACUAAAAUAUUAUGUAAAAAUUAUAAAAAUUGUUUGCUCAAUAGAUACUUCAAGGAAUUCUCGGUCAUGUUUGACCUCUGGAUUAUUCAUUCAAAUACUCCACUAUUAAAAUAAAGUACACCCGAAAGACACCGUAGUUCUAAAAUAAAAUAUAAUUAUUGUACACCAUAGAAAUAUAAUUAUAACAUAUUAAGGGGCUCUUUGGUAUUGUCCGUCGUCUAAUAUUGUUUGAUAAAUAGAGCUGGAAAUUUGAGAUGAAAAUAUAUGAGAAUAUAUUUUUUCCGUUUUUUGAUGGGCCUAUAAAAAAUAUAUUUUAACCGACUAAUCAUGAAUAUAUAUACAGUGUUAUAUAAUUUACGAUAAUAAACAGGCAAUUUCCAUAUCAUAUUUUUAUAUUGCAUAUAAAGCAAUCCACUCGCAAUCUGAAACGUAACCUAAAAAUCUAUCCAUAAAUUAAUCAUUUAGUUCUAAACAAAAUAAGGCUAUAAGCCUAUGGUACAUCUCACACAAAUAUAUAUAUAUAUAUAUAUAUAUAGAGUCCGGCUACUAUGCUAUCGGUAGCACGGAGCGCUCCGUGCUACCAAGUUGUUUUCGAUGAUGCGGCUUCCAAAUCGACGAUCGGCUCCGUUAGACUUGAUCUACACUAUUGAAAGUAUUUGGAAACUAAAUUUUAAAUUUUUUCGACAUCAUUUGACUAGUAAUCAAAAGAUCUCAAAAUUGACAAUUUUAAUGGCCGAUGUGGUGUGUUUGUGAGUUUAACGGUGUAAAACAAUUCAAAUGCGAUGAAAAUGGUUUAUUAGAAAAUUUUUUCACUGUAUUUAGAAUAAGGAUCGGUAUCAUGCGUAUCUUGGGAUUUAAAAUCUUUUUAUCACAUUUUUUAUGAGAUUUUAUUUUCAGACCGUUCAAUUUGAGACUACUUGGUUGAUAGGUAGAUGCAUAAUCGAAAAAUUAUGAAUUUAGUUUUCUAAAUACUUUCAAUAGGUGUGGAUCAACUCUAACGGAGGCGACGUCGAUUUGGGAAGCCACAUCAUCGAAAACAACUUGGCGUAGCACGCGGCGCUCCGCUCCGCGCUACCGGGAUAGUAUAGUAGCCGUAGCUCGUAUAUAUAGUAGUAUAGUGUAUAUAGUAUGUUAUAUAUAGUACUGCUAGUUAUUAUAUAUAGUAUUAUAUAUAUGUUAAUUAAGCUGGGAGGAUAUAUUAGUAGUAAAUACUCAUGUUUACUAUAAAUGUUUAAUCCGUUGGGGAUGGAAAAUUAUUAGGAAUUAGCGAUGAUAAUAGUCACGUUAGCGUUGAAUGGUCCCCCCCUAGGGGUUGCAGGGCUUCACUCUGGGUUUAUGAGAUUUAAGUCCAAUGGGUUAAAGAUAAUAAAAAGAGUUGAUCUAAAGGCUAAAAAAUUGAUAGCAAUAAUGAAAUUUUGCUACUAAUAGUAGCCCAGUCCAACUCUAUAUAUAUAUAUAUAUAUAUAUAUAAAUAGAUAACCCAAGUUAGAAAGAGAAACUCCUUAUCAUUUUCUUCUUCCUAUCAAAGAAAAAUAUAUAUAGCAAAAAUUUAUUGUGGUCCAAUUAAGAGGAAGCAAAGUAUGACAAGCAAUAGGACACUAUGACUUCUAAGUUCAUUCUAGCUUUUAAUUCAUAACAUCACAUCAGAAAAUAAAAAAAAACACUUAACCAAGCGCUCAAUAAACUGGAUAUAGUUAGCACAGUUAAAUAAAAACUUGUUGAUAUUUAAGAUCUUAAAUUUUAUAUUAGUUGCUUUAUAUUUUUCACCAAACUCAUUUCUAAAAAAUAAAUUAGCUUCAGCUUGCGAUCUUUUUCUGAAAGAAAAAAAAAUCUCUCAAUAACAAGAGACUAUAUAUAUAUAUAUAUAGUACUUUUUAAAGGAAGAGACAAUUCAAAAGAAUCUAACCAAAAUAGAACAAGAUUAGCAGUUACAUGAAAAAUACUUUAGUAGGGAGCUUCUCAACAAAGUCUCGUGGAGGAGUUUCUGAUCCGCUUAAAUGCUCGGAAAACCAAUGCAUAAAAAAAAAUAAAUAAUGAAUUACCUCCAAUGUCCAAGUAUGGUAGCUUCUUGUUUUGCACAAAGCUUUUGGAUUGAAGGAGAGGGCUCAUCUCAAAUGAGUUUGGCACCACCAAGCCCAAGAAGGGGCCUUGUUUGUUCACCUCCUCCACCAUCUUCAAUGUGCUUUUGGGAAUUGCACCAUGUGAAGUUGUGGCCAUGAUAAGAAGCACAAGAGCACUCAGAAGCAAUAGAAGGGUGGUGAGAUGUUUCAUUAUCCCACUCAUCAUCUUCUUCUUUUCUUUUUUUUUUAUAUUUUUUUGGGUUACUCCUUGCACUAAAAUCUAUCAAAAUUGUUACAACAAAUUAAGGAGAGAGAAAGAGAUAUGGAUCAGAGGAAGGGAGAGGGCGAGAAGAGUUUAUAUAUAGAAGAGAAAGAGUUUAUUUUCAAGGGAGAGAGAAAGAGAGAGGUUUUGAAUAUUACAACUUGUUAGGUUCUAUAUGUUGUAUAAUAAUAAAUAUGGAUCAUAAGGUAGCUAAAAUAAUCAUAAGAUAUAAAUAAUAAUAUGGUAUAGAAUUUUUAAGAAAACUUUUUAAAUUCGAAGUGCCUAGAAGAUGAGAUAGGAGUUUAGAAAACAAUAAUUAUUUAUACAAGAAGUACAUGUACAUUUUUUUAGAAAAAAAUUACUUUAAAAAUAUUCAUGCUUUUUGAAAGUCGAGGUAGCUUCAUGAUUUCACUUAAAAUUCUCUGGUUUAAUAGAUAUUAGAUUAGAUAAAUAGCUUCAUGAUUUCACUUAAAGUGAAAAAAUGUAAAAUCAUAAAAUACUAACUCGAUACACUUUAAAUCAGAUAUUAAAAUAAAAAAGGACGAAAUUACGGGGGUAUUUGAAGUUUCCCCCAUUUAAAAUUCCGCGUGUAAUUAAGGUUUGACGACGCGGGAGGCCGUUCGAAGGCGACAACGGCCCGGCACCGCGGCAACGCGACACGUGGCACAGCGAUGUUGAUUUGAAGCCGGACCUCUAAUCCAAUGGGUAUCCGCCACGUAACCACCGCUGACGCGAUAACUUAACCGCUUAGUGGGAACGAGACCCACGGAUCGAAAAAUUUUAGAAUGCACAAAGUUAUAGUGACGUGGCGUUUUUAAUCAAUUGAAUUUUUUUUUUUUUAACUUCAUUCAUUAUAUUAUGAUUAAUAAAAAAAUAUUUUUUUAUAUUUUUUUCUUAAGGAGAGAAAUAGAUUUACUUCUUACUGGUGAUAUGGUAUAAUUAUGAUAUUAUAGACUUCCUGUCCAUAGUUAGUUAAUUCGGAUUCGGCAAAAAUUCGGUACGGAUAUAAUUCGGAUAUAAUUCGUUUUUUAAUUUUUAAAUUCGUUGAAAAAUACGGUUAAAAAACGGGUUCGGUAAUGAUUCGGAUACGUGAUUUAUACGGAUAUUAUACGUUCACCAAUUAAAAAUUCGGAAUCAAAAAUUCGGCUAUAUAAUAAAUAUAUAAUAAUUAAUAUAUUAUAUAAUUACAAAUUUAUAAAUAAAAUAUUAUAUAAAUAUUUCUAUAUAAAAAUAAAAUAAUAUAUAUAAUAAAUAAUUAUAUUUUAUAAAUAAAAAUUUGUAGUAAUUAAUAUAUAGUAGUAAUAGUAUACUAUAUUAAUUAUAUAUAUAUGUAUAUAUGGAGGAGGGUGCGGGUCCACUGUGGGGAGGUGGACCUCCCCUCACCGCGCUUCCACGAGGCUGAAUGCCUCGCUGGACCGCGCACAUUCCCAACCUCCAUAAAGCCCCGAUAAUUUUUACUGUUCAUCUUUCCCAUUUUGGAGACGACUCGGGCGAGGAGAUGGGAUCCGCCGCCGCGGCCCUUGCUCCCGGCGCCGGCGAGGGCGGCGGAGGACGACGACGACGCGAGCGGCGACGAGACCGGCGGCGACGCGAGCGGCGACAAGAGCGGCGACGAUGCGACCCUCGGCCGCAAGUCGGCGACCGCGAUCGCCGAUUUUUUGGGCGAAUUGUUCGCGAAUCGCGAUUAAUUCGCGCAUAAUAAUUUUUGACGAAAAAAUCGCGUUUUUUUUCAAACCUUUGGGAAAAAUACGAAAUUCGCCGUUUAAUUCGUAUUUUAAAAAAUACGCGUAUAAUUCGCGUAUUAAUCGCGAAUUAACUAACUAGGUUCCUGUCACGAGCCAGGGUAGUUGCUCCUUUAUUAAUUAAAAUAAAAUGUUACACCUUUCCAAACGUACAGUUUUAAGGCUUGUUUGUGUUGACCAAGUUGGAGUUGAACUGCUCGAGUUAUCGUAACCUAAGUUCGCCGGCAUUUAAACGGAAUUGUGAAGCUCGACUUUUAUUGGGCCUAUGCGGUCUGCAGGCACGAAGUCAUCCUCACGAGACGGAGAAGGUACCGUUUAGUUUGGAUAUAAGCAAGAACUAGUUUUUACAGGAAUAGGUACAAGUGUGGGGAUAAGUAAAAUAACGUUUGGAUGAAAAUUAGGUUGUUUCCGGAGAUAAAAAAAAUAACGUUUGGAUAGAUAAUAUGGAAUAAGAAAAAUAGUAGGUUAUAUAUAAAAAAUGAAGGUGUUGGUGGGGAUAAUUAUACCAGCUUAUUUUAGGGAUCCGAGAACUACCAUUCUCGGAUAAAAAAUUUGCGUUUGGAUAUAAAGAGAGGGAUAAGUGAUUAUCCCUCCCCUUAAUCCCCAAUCCAAACACUGCCUUCGUGUAUAGCACGAUUACAAUACACACCCCUUUAUUGUGGGACCCAUACCAACCCGCGUAAAUCUCACCAUAGUAUUUCAACAGAUGAUACGAUUGUAUGUGCAUGUAAUUAUGCUUAGUUAAUUAUUAAUUUACUAAUUUUUUUAGAUAUUUAAUAUUACAAAGUAAUUUCAAGCUAAGCUCAAGCUCAAGCUCAGCAUGCAAGCUGAGCUCGAACUAAAACAAGUCCGGCUGAAACUGGUUGUAAGACGGUAAUUAUAAAAAUGGUACACCCUUUUAGGGUGUAUGUGUAGCAUUGCUCUUAACAGAAAUAGGGUUAAUUUUUUCCAAUACCCUCCUCAAAAGUGAUAAUUUUAUAAAUACUAUUUCUAAUGUAAAAUAUUUUUAGUACUACAUAAAAAGGUUUUGGGUUUAGGCUAAAGAUUUAGAGGGGUAUUUGUGAUAGGUUUAUAUAUUAGAGAAAUAUUAAUGAUAUCUUAUAUUUUGAACUUAACAUCUAUAAUAUUUUGGAAAUUGCUCUAAAGAAAUAUAUAAAGCUGAAAUUGCAACAGUUACAUCUUCUCUUGUUUGAUUACAUAUAGUUAAAAGCAUUAAAAAAGAACAAUAAAAUCUUUGUUUCUUUGUUGCCUUUAGUUAAAAUGCAUUUAUAAUUUCUCUCAUUUUAUUUCUUUUACGUAUAACGCUGUCAGGUUACCCUUACGUCGAAAUUUUCUUAUUUCCUUAAUUGAAAAAUAUCCUCUCCCUCUCAGCCUCUCUCUAACUACUGUAGUUACAAACUAUGUCAGAUUUGGAUAUUAUUCCAUAUAUAGGAAUUGAGUCUCUUUCGGAAUUUCCAACUACAGUAAGUAGUUAAAGGAAAAUAUCUGAACUUUUGUACAGUUAUAUUUGUAAUAACAUAGCAACUGCAUGCAAUCAAGCAACCCUAAAGACAAAAACUCCGAUUCAGUUCGAUACUUUGAACCGCGAGAAGAAUACUCUGUAUUGCAUGCAAUGGAUUUCAAUACAAAUAAGGUUGUGAAAAAUGUUUAGGCCAAGAUAAGGCCCGAUUCGACGAGCACGGUUCGUGGCCGAAAAGGCUUUCUCUGGGCUGUGGGCCCGUGGCUAGGCCUAGAAAUUGGGGAGAAUAAGUUGUUCUUAGGUUUUAUUGCUUGGUCAGAUCCGAGCCAAACCUGAUUUUAGGCUAGCAAAUUUUUUGGCCAAUCCAGCUUGAGUACUUUUAGAAGCAUAUGAAUAGUUCAUGUUCACUACUUUUUAAACAGUUAAAUAAAAUCGCUAAAUCCUAUACAUUUAAUGAUUAAAAACUUGAUAGCAGGUGCUACUCAUGUGCUUCUAAAAGCACUCCAAUUGUAAUCGAAGCUCAGUGCAGAAUUUUAUGCGAUGAACUGGGCUGGCCAGUUUCGCUCGAUAUCGAUUUCUUCACGUUAGCGCUUUUAAAAUUUUUAGUUAUUAUUAUGAUAAGUUCAAUAAGCAUUUUCAGAAAAUAUAUUGCUAUACGAGAAAUAAUCAUAUUGAUUCUAUGAAUUAGACUGGAAUACUUUUAAGGACGUAUUUGGUUCGCUAAAUAUUAACACCGGAAUCGGAAUCGGAAUGAUCUAUCCCGAUUCUAGAUGUUUGGUAUGCCGUAAUCUCAUUCCGAUUCCGUUUUCAUUCCGGAAUGGGAAUGGGCUAAUUCGGGUAGAAACGAAUCCGGCCUCGUACUCCGGAUUGAAAAUUGAAUCCCGACUUAAUUAUCUUAUACUAAAAUAACCUUCAUCCAUACGACUUUCUCUAAUCUCUUUCUUAUCUAUUUUUUUUUAUUCUCAAAAAUCACAUGGAUUUGGACUUUCUCAAAAAAAAAAAACAAAGAAAAAGAAAAAAUCAUUCGUAGGAGGACGCUGCUCUACAUUCGAAGUACCUUAAAAUGAUCGAAGGUUUAGCUAAUCCAGACCUUUUCAAGUCAAUUAUUCGAUUAAGUUUAUGCGCUGAUUGGUGUUAUGUAACUAUAACUAUGAUUUCUAUCAAUUUGACAUCUGUUUUUUCUUUUUCUUUGUUUUUUUUUUUAAAAAAAAAUUUGCUCNUAUUAUCAUAUAAUUAUUACAAUAAAAAUAAUAAUAAAUAGUUUAUUUUCAUAUUAAAUAAUAUAAAAUAUAACUUUUUUUUACUUUUUAUUCAUUAUUUUGUAAUUUACUCAUUUAUAUUUUAAAUAGAGUAUUCAAAAUAGUUAAAAAUAAUUAAAAUAUAUUAUAAAGGGUAAAAUUGGUAUAUUAAUUUGAUUCCGUUUCUUAUAACUAACUGAGCCAAAUACCGACAAUGGUAAUGCUUUAUUUUAAUUCCGAUUCAGCUGGCGAACUAAACAGAAUGAGGUAAUGAGUCAUUCCGAUUCCGAUUCUAGCUUAUUUUCAUUCCGUUUUCGAUUUCAAUUCCGACUGCGAACCAAACACACCCUUAAUAGUACAAGUCAUUGGCGCCAAACCGAAAAUUGAAAAUGAAAUCCAACCGGACCAAGUAAGACAAUUUAGCUCAGUUAGUAUGAUUUUCAGUUUGGUUUGAUUUCGAAAAUAGUUAAAAUUCAGUUUUUGGCUCAAUUUUAACAUAUUUUUUUGACGGAACAGAAUAGAAAUAUAAUGCACACUUUUUAUUUAAAUAAUUUGUCAAAAUUUUAUAUAUAUGAUUAAAAUUUUAAUGACACAUCAAUAUUGUUUUUCAAAAUUCUAUACCUAUAAUCCGACUUUUUGUGUGUGGGAUUCAAUUUUUAAAUUAUGAAUUUAAUAUCUAAGAAAAAUUAAUUACAAAACCCAACCGAACCUGUUUGGUUUGGAUCAGUUUCGAGUAUAAAUCGGUUCAAUCCGAUUCGGGAAUCGCCUAUAGCCCGAACCAAACCGAAUUGAUUACACCCGCAAGGAUGUCAUUGUAUUGUUUCAACCACAAAUUUAAUGUUUUGGCCCGAAAAUACAUUAAAAAAUAAAAUUCAUGAUAAAGCAAAUUAUUAUAGAAAAUAAAAUUACUAGUGAAAAGUAAACAAAAAAAAAAUCCUUCAAAAAACAAGAUUACAUUAUUCAUAUGCAAACAUGCAUGCUACUACAAACUUCAAACCUAACUCGUGAGGAGGGCUAAGAAUUUGAGCACAACAUCGACGGCGUUGUGCGCGGCAAGCGGCGCGAAGACGUCAGCCUCGUUCGACUGCGCGGAGCCACCGCCGGCGAGGUCGGACAGGGCGCGGAUGGCGACGAAGGGAGUCUCGAGCUGGCGGCACACGAGCGCGACCGCCGCGCUCUCCAUGUCGACCGGAGUCACGUUGAACUUCGACCGCAGGAACUUGCGGU
rnacentral:lncRNA from 1 species